rnacentral:rRNA from 1 species
CCAGACUCCUACGGGAGGCAGCAGUGGGGAAUAUUGCACAAUGGGGGAAACCCUGAUGCAGCAACGCCGCGUGAGUGAGGAAGUAUUUCGGUAUGUAAAGCUCUAUCAGCAGGGAAUAGAAAAGAAGGUACCUGAAAAAGAAGCCCCGGCUAACUACGUGCCAGCAGCCGCGGUAAUACGUAGGGAGCAAGCGUUAUCCGGAUUUACUGGGUGUAAAGGGCGUGUAGGCGGGCCUGCAAGUCAGAAGUGAAAUCUGGGGGCUUAACCCCCAAACUGCUUUUGAAACUGUGGGUCUUGAGUGAUGGAGAGGCAGGCGGAAUUCCCAGUGUAGCGGUGAAAUGCGUAGAUAUUGGGAGGAACACCAGUGGCGAAGGCGGCCUGCUGGACAUUAACUGACGCUGAGGCGCGAAAGCGUGGGGAGCAAACAGGAUUAGAUACCCGGGUAA